GAUGAACGCUGACAGAAUGCUUAACACAUGCAAGUCAACUUGAAUUUGGGUUUUUUAACUUAGAUUUGGGUGGCGGACGGGUGAGUAACGCGUAAAGAACUUGCCUCACAGCUAGGGACAACAUUUGGAAACGAAUGCUAAUACCUGAUAUUAUGAUUAUAAGGCAUCUUAGAAUUAUGAAAGCUAUAUGCGCUGUGAGAGAGCUUUGCGUCCCAUUAGCUAGUUGGAGAGGUAACGGCUCACCAAGGCGAUGAUGGGUAGCCGGCCUGAGAGGGUGAACGGCCACAAGGGGACUGAGACACGGCCCUUACUCCGACGGGAGGCAGCAGUGGGGAAUAUUGGACAAUGGACCAAGAGUCUGAUCCAGCAAUUCUGUGUGCACGAUGACGUUUUUCGGAAUGUAAAGUGCUUUCAGUUGGGAAGAAAAAAAUGACGGUACCAACAGAAGAAGUGACGGCUAAAUACGUG
rnacentral:rRNA from 1 species